CGGAGGGCUUGCGUCCCCGGUGGGCGCCACGGGCUUCAAACCCGUUGUUGGGAUCGGUGCUGAUUUCCAAGGAGGGUUCGAUUCCCUCGCCUUCCCGCCA
rnacentral:tRNA from 1 species